CAGUUCCCACGCCCAGCCCAGAUCAAGCACAAAAAUCAUGCUCAAGCACCAGAAAUCAAGCACAAAAAUAUAUUCUAUCAGAGAGGGUUGGAGGGAAGAGCACGGAGGGGAGGAGCAUCAGAGAGGAGAAAAAAUGAAAGAGUUCAGGCUGAAAUUUCAGAAAGGAGGUGUAGGUUUCAAAUGUGAGAUGCGGCAGAAGCUUUGCUUUGAGAAUGGAUUAACUUUUUUAUAAAAUUAAAAUAUUCUUUUUCACACUGACAGGGGUA
rnacentral:lncRNA from 1 species